rnacentral:rRNA from 1 species
GAUGAACGCUGGCGGCGUGCCUAAUACAUGCAAGUCGAGCGAACAGACGAGGAGCUUGCUCCUCUGACGUUAGCGGCGGACGGGUGAGUAACACGUGGAUAACCUACCUAUAAGACUGGGAUAACCUCGGGAAACCGGAGCUAAUACCGGAUAAUAUAUUGAACCGCAUGGUUCAAUAGUGAAAGACGGUUUUGCUGUCACUUAUAGAUGGAUCCGCGCCGCAUUAGCUAGUUGGUAAGGUAACGGCUUACCAAGGGAACGAUGCGUAGCCGACCUGAGAGGGUGAUCGGCCACACUGGAACUGAGACACGGUCCAGACUCCUACGGGAGGCAGCAGUAGGGAAUCUUCCGCAAUGGGCGAAAGCCUGACGGAGCAACGCCGCGUGAGUGAUGAAGGUCUUCGGAUCGUAAAACUCUGUUAUUAGGGAAGAACAAAUGUGUAAGUAACUAUGCACGUCUUGACGGUACCUAAUCAGAAAGCCACGGCUAACUACGUG